AGACUCUGUGCGCGUGCAUAUCAAUAAGCGGAGGAAAAGAAACUAACAAGGAUUCCCUUAGUAACGGCGAGUGAAGCGGGAAGAGCUCAAAUUUGAAAUCUUCAAGGUUUUACCUUGACGAAUUGUAGUUUAAAGAAGUGUUUUCUGUUGAAGUUUUGGUAAAAGUUCUUUGGAAUAGGACAUCAUAGAGGGUGAGAAUCCCGUAUUUGACCAUUAUUUCCAGCUGUGUGAUACACUUUCAAAGAGUCGGAUUGUUUGGGAAUGCAGUCCAAAAUGGGUGGUAAAUUUCAUCUAAAGCUAAAUAUUGGCGAGAGACCGAUAGCGAACAAGUACCGUGAGGGAAAGAUGAAAAGAACUUUGAAAAGAGAGUUAAACAGUACGUGAAAUUGUCAAAAGGGAAGCGUUUGACACCAGUGUUGUUUUCUCGAAAAUCAAUUAAAAAUGAUGGGAUUUUGUGUUGUAUUGACUUUAUCAGCUUUCUGCACUUUUUUUCUUAUCUUUUUUAAUGCACUUUUCGUUUAACAAGUCAACAUCAAUUUCUUUUGUUGUAAAAGAGUCAUUGGAAGGUGGCUUUUCUUUCCGGAGAAAGUGUUUAUAGCCUUUGGCUUCUGCAAUCGGAGAGAUUGAGGUCUGCAGCGUAGAUCCUUCGGGGUUAGAUAGCAUUUGUGCUAAGCUAUAGUUCUUUAUAGACAACUUGUUGACUAUGAUCAGUCCUGUAGCUUACUCGCUUAUGCUAUUUUACCUACGCUUAGGAUGUUGAUCUGUAGUGCGUGCGC
rnacentral:rRNA from 1 species